UUGGAGUAAAAAAAAAAAUCUCCACUUCUCACUUUUUUUUUCUUUUAAUUUUCUUUAAAAAAAAUUUCAAAUUCAAAUUUUUCACCACUGGUUUAUAUUCUGAACUUUUUAAUUUGAAUGACUAUUGUAAGAUGUCAAAAGAAAUCGCAUUUUUCGUUCAACUCAGAGGAAGUAUGAAAGCGACGAGUACAAAGGUAAGUUGUUCAGUUUUUCUUGUCGAUUUGUGUGAUAUUGAGGUUUGUUUACAUUGUGUUCUUUUUUUUUCGUUUCAGCAGCAACAUGCGUCCGCAACAAAAUUUCUUCGGAGAAAAUUACCCGUAAUUUUCUAGGAAGAAACAAAAAGGUCACCUGGGGAUUAGAUAUCUAAAGGAUUUUUCAGUACAAAAGCAUAACAUUACCGGACUGGUUUCUCAUGGACAUAUAGAACACGUGGUUGUAUAUUGCAGGUGGGAGUUCCUUAUACUACAUACGGGGAUGCUCAUCGUGGUGGCCAUUCUUACCCGGUGAAAUUUGUUUAGCUACCAUUUUGAAAUUGGUUGAACUAAAUUUUCAUCCGUGGGGAGCAACCCAUGUUAUAAGCCGGGCUUAAUUUAGGCUUGGUAGUUUCAUUUGUGAAAAAAAAAUUGACGCAGACAUAACUGUUCAGACAACUUUAUACAGGAUCAAGAAUUCAAGGUCAACUUAUUUCAACUUCAAACAUCAUAUUUCCAGGACAAGAAACUACCCCCUUUCUACCUUGUAGAAGUGGAGAGAAAAACCGGUGAGUGAUUCAUUAUAAGUUUUAUUUUAAUUAAUUAUAAAAACUGGCCUGACAGUUAAAGGUCAUGUAUUUGAUCCAUAAAUUAAGAUUCAAAAGUAGCUAACAAAAAAAAUUUAAAAACAACACAAAUCAUGCUUAAAUACAAUGGUACAAGAAAUUAAAUAAU